rnacentral:lncRNA from 1 species
GUUUUGUAUUUUUUUUGGUUUUUAAAUCAACUAAAAUGUUUUGUUGUCUUCGGGACUAUAUUGUAUGAACCAUUCAUAUGAUCACAAUAACAAGUCCGACCAAAUCGAUCUUCAAUGAAUAUUUAAAUUUGAUUUUUUGAUUUUUGGUGUCUUAACGUCACGUUUAACACCGCAUUUAGGCUAUUUCGUAUUUUAUUGGUGGAGAAAGUCGGAGAAAACCACCGACCUUCGAUAGGAGAACUGACAAUCCUUGUCAAUUAAGAUAGGAGUUGAUUGCAACCGCACGAUCGGGGUUCCAACGCACAACUUCAGUGUUGACUGGCUAUUGAUUACAGUAGUAACUACUUAGACGACUCGGCCACCGCGGUCCCUGGAUAUCUAAAAGAACAGUAACUAUUGGUAGCAAUGUAAUAACACUAACA